CCAUGAUUCACUCUUUACCCUAAUUACACCAACAAUGGGCCUCUGGAGUUUGUCCCUCUCACCUUAAUCACUGCGGAAUUUGAUCUCAGGGCCUUUCAUUCCAUUACUACCCCCCAUCUGGCCGCUGCCUGCAGGAGCCAGGCCGGCCCUGCGUCUCCCGUGGGACUAGAGGCCUGGGGGACGGUCACUGCGAGGCUGCUAUUCACAGACCAAAGAGGACUGCAGACUCAAAAUCCAUUAGCAUCUGGAUGGCAACAUAACCAUGCACAGUGGAGACUGAUGCAGUAAGAUGUGAUGGGGCCAGUGUGGGGCUGGAGAGUCUGCACCUCAGUUGAAAUAAUUCAGGUACAAAGUAUUCAAAAACUCUGUGCCAAAGAUGAUACAUCUGCAUAUAGUAUCUGGCAUCUGCUAGUG
rnacentral:lncRNA from 1 species